GUGAGUAGAAGUGACCUGUGCAUUUUGGAGCAGAAACUUUAAGUUAUGGCCUUGUUCGGUAAUCUCUCUUACCCUUUUGCUACUCCUUCUGCUAGGAUCAGAAAUGAAGACAACUUGAAGGAGAGCUAAUGUUGACUUCCAUUGUCAUGUUACACGAGCGAGAAAUAAGCCUUUAUUUUUUUGAACCACUAAGAUUUCAGGGUUGUUAUUGCAGCAUAAACAAAAGAGACCUAACUAAUACAGUGUGUUUAUUUUAUUCUGUUUUCCUCUUUCCUGUUUCAUCUAUAAUCAACACUUAAAAAUGGAUACUGAGAGGAAAGUUUGGCCAGAAGAUUAUCAUAGUAUCGAUGCCUCUGACCAUGAAGUUUAUAGCUGAGUGUCUGGAAAAGAGGAAUGCUCUUUUUCAUGUUCAGCAUAAAAAUACUCAUCUACCAGGCUGGGAUGAAUGCAGGCCAUGAGGAUACCCCAUGGUUCUCCUACCACCAGAUGCUACUGAGGCUAAACUGACUGGACUGAGGAAAAAUAUCUGUGGGGAAAACUUUCUUUCAGAAUCCAACUUUGAACCAGAGAAAUCCAUUCUCUUGAAGCUGUCUGCUGUGGAGAAGUUGGCCUUACCAAUCUGCCUUUGAAGUUCAAGUUAUACAGGAUCUGCGAGGCUACCUGUGAAUGAAUGGUUGGUUGGUCACUACUUGCAAGUUUUUCAGGAGCUCCUGAAAGAUUACUGCAUAAAUAAGGGAAGAUGGAGACCAGACCUCUGGCUACUGUUGCUGCCACCACUACAGAUACCACCUUCACCCUUAUGAACCCCCUAUUUACUGAACAUUCUCUAUAUGCCAGGUAACAUGCCCUGCACUUGUGAAAUAAGGACUGUUAUUUCCCCUAUUUUAUAAAAGAGGAGCUGAGGCUCAGAGAGAUUAUGUUACUUGCCCAAGAUCAGAUAGCUAGUAAGUGGCAGAGAUGAGAUUCUGUCUGAGUCCAGCUUACACCAUAACUGAUAUUCUUGACAAUCGGGCUGGAUAGAAAAGGAUAAGAUAUGAGAAUUUUGGUGCUAUGAUUUGAAUUUUCCUUCCAAAGCUCAUGUUGAAACUUAAUCCCCAAAGUAACAGUACUGAUAGGUGGGGUCUUUAACAUGGAGUCCCAGAAUUGGAUCGUGAGGGCUCUGCCCUGAUAAAUGAAUUAUUCCACUCAUGAUUAAUGGAUUAAUAGAUCAUCAUGGGAGUGGAACAGUGGCUUUAUAAGAAGAGGAAGAGAGACCUGAGGUAGAACACUCAGCGCCCUUGCCAUGUGAUGCUCUGUACUGCCUUGGGACUCUGCAGAGUCUCUCUACCAGCAAGAAGGUCCUCACCAGAUGCAGUCCCUUGACCUUGGCCUUCUUAGCUUCUACAACUGUCAUAAAUAAUUUUUUCUUUAUAAAUUACCCAGUUUUGGGAGUUCUAUUAUAAGCAAUAAAAACCAG
rnacentral:lncRNA from 1 species